rnacentral:rRNA from 1 species
CAGCCUUGCCGCGUGUGUGAAGAAGGCCUUAGGUUUGUAAAGCACUUUCAGUGGGGAAGAAAGCCUUCCGGCUAAUACCCGGGAGGAAGGACAUCACCCACAGAAGAAGCACCGGCUAACUCCGUGCCAGCAGCCGCGGUAAUACGGAGGGUGCGAGCGUUAAUCGGAAUUACUGGGCGUAAAGCGCGCGUAGGUGGCUUGAUAAGCCGGUUGUGAAAGCCCUGGGCUCAACCUGGGAACGGCAUCCGGAACUGUCAGGCUAGAGUGCAGGAGAGGAAGGUAGAAUUCCCGGUGUAGCGGUGAAAUGCGUAGAGAUCGGGAGGAAUACCAGUGGCGAAGGCGGCCUUCUGGACUGACACUGACACUGAGGUGCGAAAGCGUGGGUAGCAAACAGGAUUAGAUACCCUGGUAGUCCACGCCGUAAACGAUGUCGACUAGCCGUUGGGUCCUUCGCGGACUUUGUGGCGCAGUUAACGCGAUAAGUCGACCGCC